AAAUUAAAGAUUUAUCGGUGAUGGAUGGGGAUGCGUCUGAUUAGCUUGUUGGCGGGGUAACGGCCCACCAAGGCGGCGAUCAGUAGGGGUUCUGAGAGGAAGGUCCCCCACAUUGGAACUGAGACACGGUCCAAACUCCUACGGGAGGCAGCAGUGAGGAAUAUUGGUCAAUGGGCGAGAGCCUGAACCAGCCAAGUAGCGUGCGGGAUGACGGCCCUAUGGGUUGUAAACUGCUUUUAUAGGGGAAUAAAGUGAGCCACGUGUGGUUUUUUGCAUGUACCCUAUGAAUAAGGACCGGCUAAUUCCGUGCCAGCAGCCGCGGUAAUACGGAAGGUCCGGGCGUUAUCCGGAUUUAUUGGGUUCAAAGGGAGCGUAGGCCGGAGAUUAAGCGUGUUGUGAAAUGUAGAUGCUCAACAUCUGCACUGCAGCGCGAACUGGUUUCCUUGAGUACGCAUAAAGUGGGCGGAAUUCGUGGUGUAGCGGUGAAAUGCUUAGAUAUCACGAAGAACUCCGAUUGCGAAGGCAGCUCACUGGGGCGCAACUGACGCUGAAGCUCGAAAGCGCGGGUAUCGAACAGGAUUAGAUACCCUGGUAGUCCGCGCGGUAAACGAUGGAUGCCCGCUGUUGGGCCAACUGGUUCAGCGGCCAAGCGAAAGCAUUAAGCAUCCCACCUGGGGAGUACGCCGGCAACGGUGAAACUCAAAGGAAUUGACGGGGGCCCGCACAAGCGGAGGAACAUGUGGUUUAAUUCGAUGAUACGCGAGGAACCUUACCCGGGCUUGAAUUGCAGAGGAAGGAUUUGGAGACAAUGACGCCCUUCGGGGCCUCUGUGAAGGUGCUGCAUGGUUGUCGUCAGCUCGUGCCGUGAGGUGUCGGCUUAAGUGCCAUAACGAGCGCAACCCCUCUCCAUAGUUGCCAUCAGGUGAAGCUGGGCACUCUGUGGACACUGCCACCGUAAGGUGCGAGGAAGGUGGGGAUGACGUCAAAUCAGCACGGCCCUUACGUCCGGGGCUACACACGUGUUACAAUGGCAGGUACAGAGAGCCGGUCGUAUGCAAAUACGAUCCAAUCCUUAAAGCCUGUCUCAGUUCGGACUGGGGUCUGCAACCCGACCCCACGAAGCUGGAUUCGCUAGUAAUCGCGCAUCAGCCAUGGCGCGGUGAAUACGUUCCCGGGCCUUGUACACACCGCCCGUCAAGCCAUGAAAGCCGGGGGCGCCU
rnacentral:rRNA from 1 species